GCCUGUGCUCUGGAGCUUGAUCCGAAAGCUUCCACAGUGAGGACUGCUCCGUGGGGGUAAGAGAGCACCAGGCACUGAGGCCUGGGAGUUCCACAGACCAACACCCCUGCUCCUGGCGGCUCCCACCCGGGACUUAGACCCUCAGGUCCCUAAUAUCCCGGAGGUGCUCUCAAUCAGAAAGGUCCUGCUCCGCUUCGCAGUGGAAUGGAACGGAUUUAGAAGCCUGCAGUAGGGGAGUGGGGAGUGGAGAGAGGGAGCCCAGAGUUACAGACGGCGGCGAGAGGAAGGAGGGGCGUCUUUAUUUUUUUAAGGCCCCAAAGAGUCUGAUGUUUACAAGACCAGAAAUGCCACGGCCGCGUCCUGGCAGAGAAAAGGCUGAAAUGGAGGACCGGCGCCUUCCUUAUAAGUAUGCACAUUGGCGAGAGAAGUGCUGCAACCUAAACCAGCAAUUACACCCAAGCUCGUUGGGGCCUAAGCCAGUACCGACCUGGUAGAAAAAGCAACCACGAAGCUAGAGAGAGAGCCAGAGGAGGGAAGAGAGCGCCAGACGAAGGUGAAAGCGAACCACGCAGAGAAAUGCAGGCAAGGGAGCAAGGCGGCAGUUCCCGGAACAAACGUGGCAGAGGGCAAGACGGGCACUCACAGACAGAGGUUUAUGUAUUUUUAUUUUUUAAAAUCUGAUUUGGUGUUCCAUGAGGAAAAGGGAAAAUCUAGGGAACGGGAGUACAGAGAGAAUAAUCCGGGUCCUAGCUCGCCACAUGAACGCCCAGAGAACGCUGGAAAAACCUGAGCGGGUGCCGGGGCAGCACCCGGCUCGGGUCAGCCACUGCCCCACACCGGGCCCACCAAGCCCCGCCCCUCGCGGCCACCGGGGCUUCCUUGCUCUUCUUAUCAUCUCCAUCUUUAUGAUGAGGCUUGUUAACAAGACCAGAGAGCUGGCCAAGCACCUCUAUCUCAGCCGCGCCCGCUCAGCCGAGCAGCGGUCGGUGGGGGGACUGGGAGGCGCUAAUUAAUUGAUUCCUUUGGACUGUAAAAUAUGGCGGCGUCUACACGGAACCCAUGGACUCAUAAACAAUAUAUCUGUUGGGCGUGAGUGCACUGUCUCUCAAAUAAUUUUUCCAUAGGCAAAUGUCAGAGGGUUCUGGAUUUUUAGUUGCUAAGGAAAGAUCCAAAUGGGACCAAUUUUAGGAGGCCCAAACAGAGUCCGUUCAGUGUCAGAAAAUGCUUCCCCAAAGGGGUUGGGAGUGUGUUUUGUUGGAAAAAAGCUUGGGUUAUAGGAAAGCCUUUCCCUGCUACUUGUGUAGACCCAGCCCAAUUUAAGAAUUACAAGGAAGCGAAGGGGUUGUGUAGGCCGGAAGCCUCUCUGUCCCGGCUGGAUGCAGGGGACUUGAGCUGCUCCGGAAUUUGAGAGGAACAUAGAAGCAAAGGUCCAGCCUUUGCUUCGUGCUGAUUCCUAGACUUAAGAUUCAAAAACAAAUUUUUAAAAGUGAAACCAGCCCUAGCCUUUGGAAGCUCUUGAAGGUUCAGCACCCACCCAGGAAUCCACCUGCCUGUUACACGCCUCUCCAAGACACAGUGGCACCGCUUUUCUAACUGGCAGCACAGAGCAACUCUAUAAUAUGCUUAUAUUAGGUCUAGAAGAAUGCAUCUUGAGACACAUGGGUAACCUAAUUAUAUAAUGCUUGUUCCAUACAGGAGUGAUUAUGCAGUGGGACCCUGCUGCAAACGGGACUUUGCACUCUAAAUAUAGACCCCAGCUUGGGACAAAAGUUGCAGUAGAAAAAUAGACAUAGGAGAACACUUAAAUAAGUGAUGCAUGUAGACACAGAAGGGGUAUUUAAAAGACAGAAAUAAUAGAAGUACAGAAGAACAGAAAAAAAAUCAGCAGAUGGAGAUUACCAUUCCCAAUGCCUGAACUUCCUCCUGCUAUUAAGAUUGCUAGAGAAUUGUGUCUUAAACAGUUCAUGAACCCAGAAGAAUGCAAUUUCAAUGUAUUUAGUACACACACAGUAUGUAUAUAAACACAACUCACAGAAUAUAUUUUCCAUACAUUGGGUAGGUAUGCACUUUGUGUAUAUAUAAUAAUGUAUUUUCCAUGCAGUUUUAAAAUGUAGAUAUAUUAAUAUCUGGAUGCAUUUUCUGUGCACUGGUUUUAUAUGCCUUAUGGAGUAUAUACUCACAUGUAGCUAAAUAGACUCAGGACUGCACAUUCCUUGUGUAGGUUGUGUGUGUGUGGUGGUUUUAUGCAUAAAUAAAGUUUUACAUGUGGUGAA
rnacentral:lncRNA from 1 species